CAGCAGUAGGGAAUCUUACCACAAUGGGCGCAAGCCUGAUGGAGCAACACCGCGUGAGUGAAGAAGGGUUUCGGCUCGUAAAGCUCUGUUGUUAAAGAAGAACACGUAUGAGAGUAACUGUUCAUACGUUGACGGUAUUUAACCAGAAAGUCACGGCUAACUACGUGCCAGCAGCCGCGGUAAUACGUAGGUGGCAAGCGUUAUCCGGAUUUAUUGGGCGUAAAGAGAGUGCAGGCGGUUUUCUAAGUCUGAUGUGAAAGCCUUCGGCUUAACCGGAGAAGUGCAUCGGAAACUGGAUAACUUGAGUGCAGAAGAGGGUAGUGGAACUCCAUGUGUAGCGGUGGAAUGCGUAGAUAUAUGGAAGAACACCAGUGGCGAAGGCGGCUACCUGGUCUGCAACUGACGCUGAGACUCGAAAGCAUGGGUAGCGAACAGGAUUAGAUACCCUGGUAG
rnacentral:rRNA from 1 species